rnacentral:lncRNA from 1 species
GGUCAAGGAGCUCAUGGUGCAGCUUGUGCUCUGUCCAAGGACGCCUGGCUGUGGCAUGAGUGUUUCUGUUUACAGUGUGGCAAGAUGCUGUACCUGGCUAAGAGGUUCUGCGGGCUGCCCCUCAUGUGCCCAAGCCCUUAGCGGGAGGCAGUUGGAUCAGGAACCUAGAACUUCUUGUCUGGACAGGUCACCUUGCUAAAGGCCAGCUCCUGCCAAUGCAUGGCUUUGAGCAUCCGCUGUGGGGACAAGACAGAGAAAGAAGUGAGAAGCACUGGCAUCUACUGUCCCCCCCCCCCCCCCGACAGUGAAGGCUGUGGGCAAGUAUAGCGUGGGAGUCUGCUCUGUCCGCUCUCUGUGCUGUGGACUCUAUAGUAGCUGCCUGGUUCUCUCUUAGACUCACUUGCCUUAUCUGGAAUGUAAACUGGCUAACUCAGGGGUCACCUGAACACUGAUGUCCAGUUUCAGCAGGCCUGUAAUAAUGACAAUACUGACAGGCAGGGAUUUAUGACGGUUUAUAUGGAUUUGGUGCUGUGUUUGGUGCAAACAUGAAUGCUCUGAUGCUCACAGCUACCCAUGGGCCACUCCUAAUUUAACAUCCCUGUUUGCACAGGAAACGGAGUCAGAAGGCAAAUGACUGUUCAGACCAGAGCUAGGAAGCAGAAGGCCUGGAUUUAAACUUAGACUUGAACUCUGGAGCCCAGCCCUUGCCCCAAAUACUCUUCCUAGAAACUAGGAUAGCAGGGUCUGGGGCCCAGUGCCAUCCCAACAGUGACAGUUGAGUAAGUGGCACUGCUGUGGGUACCUUAUCUCGCCAACAAAUUUUAGACUACAGAGGCCCUUCAGAGAUCACCUGGUUCGACCACCCUCCUGCCACUGAACAAUGGGGCCCUAAGAGGGCAAGUGACAGCCCCAGCUUCACCUGACACAGCUGUACACUUCUCUGGGGUAGCCAGAGGAGGAUACAGAUGGUCAGCUUUGGCUCUUUGCUGAGGUUCAUGAAGGAGGUCUGCUACCAUGUAUGUGUGUAUGGGGGAGGGGCCACAUAAACAGAGCCCAGCCCCACUGGGGCUUAUUUGGUUUCUACUGUGGCUGAACAGGCAGGCAAAGAGGCACAUGGCCUAGAUUUCCUCCUUGGCUAAUGUUUGCAAUGGUAUAAAUAGAGGCUUCCCUACUCUGAACAUGUUCUGUGACCAGGGCACAUGGUGGUACCUCUUUAAUCCUCAGUGUCUCAUUCAUAAGUAGGUUUUAAUACAUAUGUGUUGGGUUUCAGAGGGGCCAGCGUGGUAUGGGGUGGUAUGGGGUGGGGUGAGUCAGCAGACCCAGCUCAGCUGCCUUCUCCUGGUGUGACCGUGACUGAGUGACUAUCCCUUUGGGGCCUCAGUGGCCUUGUCCUGAGUCUCACGGCGUCCCUGGCAGGCCUUGCCAAGGGUGCAUGCGUGUGAAGGAUGCAUGUAAAGCUCUUAGCUCAGGACCACAGCUCCGGUGGCCCGCCCUGAGCACGUGCUUCAGACGGAGCAUGAGGGGUAGUUUCAGUUCAUAAUCAUUUUAUUUAUGGUGCUAGCGAUUGAACCCACUGCCACAUGCACACUAGGCACGAGCUCUGCCACUGAGCUGCAGCCUAGCCUUAACAUGCAGAUGUGCAUUCGCAUGUUUCUCUCUACUGCUCCUGAAACAAGGCUCACUGUUCUUAUCCACUGCCUCAUAAUCACGUGGUAAAAGAUAUGGGUCAAGAAGGGACAGUGACUCGCACAAGGUCACACAGCUGCUUUCUCAGUCCAGCUCAGUCUGUUGC